rnacentral:rRNA from 1 species
AUACGAAGGGUGCAAGCGUUACUCGGAAUUACUGGGCGUAAAGCGUGCGUAGGUGGUUGUUUAAGUCUGUCGUGAAAGCCCUGGGCUCAACCUGGGAAUGGCGAUGGAAGCUGGGCGACUAGAGUGUGGCAGAGGGUAGUGAAUUCCUGGUGUAGCAGUGAAAUGCGUAGAGAUCAGGAGGAACAUCCGUGGCGAAGGCGACUGCCUGGGCCAACACUGACACUGAGGCACGAAAGCGUGGGGAGCAAACAGGAUUAGAUACCCUGGUAGUCCACGCCCUAAACGAUGCGAACUGGAUGUUGGGUGCAAUUUGGCACGCAGUAUCGAAGCUAACGCGUUAAGUUCGCCGCCUGGGGAGUACGGUCGCAAGACUGAAACUCAAAUGAAUUGACGGGG